AUGUCCUCGGAGUUUUCGACUUCGUCAUCAGUUUGCAGUUCGGAUGGAUCAUCUGUGUCUUCCAAGGCCAAGGAAGAGACAGGAGCUAUGGUUCUACGAGGUUGUCUUCGGUGUCUCAUGUAUGUUUUGUUAUCAGAGGCUGAUCCUAAUCCAAAAUGUCCCAAGUGUAAGAGCACUGUGUUGCUUGAUUUCCUUAAUGACAAGCAUAACACCAGAAAAGCAAGCAGCUAG